UACGUAGGCAGCAAGCGUUGUUCGGAGUUACUGGGCGUAAAGGGUGCGUAGGCGGCUUCUUAAGUUUGGUGUGAAAUCUCCCGGCUCAACUGGGAGGGUGCGCCGAAUACUGAGGGGCUAGAGUGUGGGAGAGGAAAGUGGAAUUCCAGGUGUAGCGGUGAAAUGCGUAGAUAUCUGGAGGAACACCGGUGGUGUAAACGGCUUUCUGGACCAUACUGACGCUGGAUGCACGAAAGCUGGGGAGCAAACAGG
rnacentral:rRNA from 1 species